rnacentral:rRNA from 1 species
CCUUGUUAAACCACACCCCCAAGGGAACCAGCAGUGAUAAACAUUAAGCCAUGAGGGAAAGCUCGACUUAAUUAAGAUUAACCUAAGCCGGUAAAAUUCGUGCCAGCCACCGCGGUUAUACGAAAGGCUUAAACUGAUGCAUCACGGCGUAAAGCGUGAUUAGAAUAUUUAACACAAUAAAGCCAAACGCACCCCCAACUGUAAUACGCCUCCGGGAGACAGAAAAUCUAUAACGAAAGUAGCUUUAACACCUUUGAAUUCACGAUAGUUAAGAAACAAACUGGGAUUAGAUACCCCACUAUGCUUAACCUUAAACAACGAUGCAUAUGCAUCCGCCAGGGUACUACAAGCUCUAGCUUAAAACCCAAAGGACUUGGCGGCACCUCAAACCCACCUAGAGGAGCCUGUCCUAUAAUCGAUAAACCCCGCUAAACCUUGCCUCCCCUUGCCAAAACCGCCUAUAUACCACCGUCGUCAGCUUACCUCUCAAGAGAAUGAUAGCGAGCCCAAUGAGUAAAACUCAAAACGUCAGGUCAAGGUGUAGCGUAUGAGGAGGAAUGAGAUGGGCUACAUUUUCUGAACCAGAAAACUACGAAUAGUAUAAUGAAAUAAAUACAUACAGAAGGUGGAUUUAACAGUAAAAGAGGAACAGAGAGCCCCUUUGAAGCUGGCCCUGAGGCGCGUACACACCGCCCGUCA